CUGCGUGUCUGUGGGCUGGGUGGGGAGGUGGUCAGGGCCAGGCGGAGGGAGACACGCAGGCCGGCGUAUGUCGGUGCCACUGAAGGAGGGCCAGUGAGGGUCCUCUGCUGGCUAACGCAGGCUCCAUCAGGUCCGCAUCCUCCUCUGGCAGGACUGGGCGGUGGAAGACGCAGAGGCUCUGGGAGCCAGCUAGAGACCCAAGAUGCACCAGUCCUUGGGACAGCAUGUGACACACAGUGAGUGCAUAGCCAUAAAGUGGGAAGCUGUGAGAGCCCAGGAGACACUCAGAUGCCAGCAAGGCCCAGCACGGAGCCUGGCCCAAGGGAUAGAACACCGUGUGGCAGCCAGGACAGUGACUGAGGGACGAUCAAUGUCACACGCCCAGCUGGGGACCCCAGGGCCCUGGCAUGGGCUCCUACAGCCUCAGAGGCAAGUGGUGGACAGGUGGCCAUUGUCCACUAGCACCCUUGGCCCUUUAUGAAUGGUCCACGGCUGCUUCUGAAGGCCCGAGUGAGCCGUCAAGCAGGGACCCCAGGCCACGGUGCCAGAGCUGCAGCACUCACGCUCCGACCCUCUACGGGGGAGGUUCCUUGCCCCGAGGUCCGCAGAUCAGAAACCACUUUGCCCAAUGUCCACUUGAAGCUCUAAAUGCUUCACAACUAAAACUCACUGUAAUGAAGCCAAAUAAAAUCAAUUUUAAAAAUCAGG
rnacentral:lncRNA from 1 species